AGCGGCGGACGGGUGAGUAACGCGUGGGUAACCUGCCCUAUACACAUGGAUAACAUACUGAAAAGUUUACUAAUACAUGAUAAUAUAUAUUUGUGGCAUCGCAGAUAUAUCAAAGUGUUAGCGGUAUAGGAUGGACCCGCGUCUGAUUAGCUAGUUGGUGAGAUAACUGCCCACCAAGGCGACGAUCAGUAGCCGACCUGAGAGGGUGAUCGGCCACAUUGGAACUGAGACACGGUCCAAACUCCUACGGGAGGCAGCAGUGGGGAAUAUUGCACAAUGGGCGAAAGCCUGAUGCAGCAACGCCGCGUGAACGAUGAAGGUCUUCGGAUCGUAAAGUUCUGUUGCAGGGGAAGAUAAUGACGGUACCCUGUGAGGAAGCCCCGGCUAACUACGUGCCAGCAGCCGCGGUAAUACGUAGGGGGCUAGCGUUAUCCGGAUUUACUGGGCGUAAAGGGUGCGUAGGUGGUCCUUCAAGUCGGUGGUUAAAGGCUACGGCUCAACCGUAGUAAGCCGCCGAAACUGGAGGACUUGAGUGCAGGAGAGGAAAGUGGAAUUCCCAGUGUAGCGGUGAAAUGCGUAGAUAUUGGGAGGAACACCAGUAGCGAAGGCGGCUUUCUGGACUGCAACUGACACUGAGGC
rnacentral:rRNA from 1 species